rnacentral:rRNA from 1 species
AUUGAACGCUGGCGGCAGGCCUAACACAUGCAAGUCGAGCGGAUGAAGGGAGCUUGCUCCUGGAUUCAGCGGCGGACGGGUGAGUAAUGCCUAGGAAUCUGCCUGGUAGUGGGGGGAUAACGUCCGGAAACGGGCGCUAAUACCGCAUACGUCCUGAGGGAGAAAGUGGGGGAUCUUCGGACCUCACGCUAUCAGAUGAGCCUAGGUCGGAUUAGCUAGUUGGUGGGGUAAAGGCCUACCAAGGCGACGAUCCGUAACUGGUCUGAGAGGAUGAUCAGUCACACUGGAACUGAGACACGGUCCAGACUCCUACGGGAGGCAGCAGUGGGGAAUAUUGGACAAUGGGCGAAAGCCUGAUCCAGCCAUGCCGCGUGUGUGAAGAAGGUCUUCGGAUUGUAAAGCACUUUAAGUUGGGAGGAAGGGCAGUAAGUUAAUACCUUGCUGUUUUGACGUUACCAACAGAAUAAGCACCGGCUAACUUCGUG